rnacentral:rRNA from 1 species
ACGGGUGAGUAAUGCCUAGGAAUCUGCCUGGUAGUGGGGGAUAACGCUCGGAAACGGACGCUAAUACCGCAUACGUCCUACGGGAGAAAGCAGGGGACCUUCGGGCCUUGCGCUAUCAGAUGAGCCUAGGUCGGAUUAGCUAGUUGGUGAGGUAAUGGCUCACCAAGGCGACGAUCCGUAACUGGUCUGAGAGGAUGAUCAGUCACACUGGAACUGAGACACGGUCCAGACUCCUACGGGAGGCAGCAGUGGGGAAUAUUGGACAAUGGGCGAAAGCCUGAUCCAGCCAUGCCGCGUGUGUGAAGAAGGUCUUCGGAUUGUAAAGCACUUUAAGUUGGGAGGAAGGGCAUUAACCUAAUACGUUAGUGUUUUGACGUUACCGACAGAAUAAGCACCGGCUAACUCUGUGCCAGCAGCCGCGGUAAUACAGAGGGUGCAAGCGUUAAUCGGAAUUACUGGGCGUAAAGCGCGCGUAGGUGGUUUGUUAAGUUGGAUGUGAAAUCCCCGGGCUCAACCUGGGAACUGCAUUCAAAACUGACAAGCUAGAGUAUGGUAGAGGGUGGUGGAAUUUCCUG